rnacentral:rRNA from 1 species
UACGGAGGGGGUUAGCGUUGUUCGGAAUGACUGGGCGUAAAGAGCUCGUAGGCGGCUUGUCACGUCGGGUGUGAAAGCCCGGGGCUUAACCCCGGGUCUGCAUUCGAUACGGGCUAGCUAGAGUGUGGUAGGGGAGAUCGGAAUUCCUGGUGUAGCGGUGAAAUGCGCAGAUAUCAGGAGGAACACCGGUGGCGAAGGCGGAUCUCUGGGCCAUUACUGACGCUGAGGAGCGAAAGCGUGGGGAGCGAACAGG